rnacentral:ncRNA from 1 species
UACGUGCUCCGGGGUCGGUGCAAUUCCGAGCCGGCGGUGACAGUCCGCGACCCGCUCGCAGCCAGCGAGCGGUUGACGAGGUGAGAUUCCUCGACCGACGGUGAAAGUCCGGAUGGGAGGCAGCACGCG